rnacentral:rRNA from 1 species
GACGAACGCUGGCGGCGUGCCUAAUACAUGCAAGUUGAGCGCUGAAGGUUGGUACUUGUACCGACUGGAUGAGCAGCGAACGGGUGAGUAACGCGUGGGGAAUCUGCCUCUGAGCGGGGGACAACAUUUGGAAACGAAUGCUAAUACCGCAUAACAACUUUAAACACAAGUUUUAAGUUUGAAAGAUGCAAUUGCAUCACUCAAAGAUGUUCCCGCGUUGUAUUAGCUAGUUGGUGAGGUAAAGGCUCACCAAGGCGAUGAUACAUAGCCGACCUGGGAGGGUGAUCGGCCACAUUGGGACUGAGACACGGCCCAAACUCCUACGGGAGGCAGCAGUAGGGAAUCUUCGGCAAUGGACGAAAGUCUGACCGAGCAACGCCGCGUGAGUGAAGAAGGUUUUCGGAUCGUAAAACUCUGUUGGUAGAGAAGAACGUUGGUGAGAGUGGAAAGCUCAUCAAGUGACGGUAACUACCCAGAAAGGGACGGCUAACUACGUGCCAGCCGCAGCCGUAA